rnacentral:rRNA from 1 species
GAUGAACGCUGGCGGCGUGCCUAAUACAUGCAAGUCGAGCGAACGGACGAGAAGCUUGCUUUUCUGAUGUUAGCGGCGGACGGGUGAGUAACACGUGGAUAACCUACCUAUAAGACUGGGAUAACUUCGGGAAACCGGAGCUAAUACCGGAUAAUAUUUUGAACCGCAUGGUUCAAAAGUGAAAGACGGUCUUGCUGUCACUUAUAGAUGGAUCCGCGCUGCAUUAGCUAGUUGGUAAGGUAACGGCUUACCAAGGCAACGAUGCAUAGCCGACCUGAGAGGGUGAUCGGCCACACUGGAACUGAGACACGGUCCAGACUCCUACGGGAGGCAGCAGUAGGGAAUCUUCCGCAAUGGGCGAAAGCCUGACGGAGCAACGCCGCGUGAGUGAUGAAGGUCUUCGGAUCGUAAAACUCUGUUAUUAGGGAAGAACAUAUGUGUAAGUAACUGUGCACAUCUUGACGGUACCUAAUCAGAAAGCCACGACUAACUACGUGCCAGCAGCCGCGGUAAUACGUAGGUGGCAAGCGUUAUCCGGAAUUAUUGGGCGUAAAGCGCGCGUAGGCGGUUUUUUAAGUCUGAUGUGAAAGCCCACGGCUCAACCGUGGAGGGUCAUUGGAAACUGGAAAACUUGAGUGCAGAAGAGGAAAGUGGAAUUCCAUGUGUAGCGGUGAAAUGCGCAGAGAUGUGGAGGAACACCAGUGGCGAAGGCGACUUUCUGGUCUGUAACUGACGCUGAUGUGCGAAAGCGUGGGGAUCAAACAGGAUUAGAUACCCUGGUAGUCCACGCCGUAAACGAUGAGUGCUAAGUGUUAGGGGGUUUCCGCCCCUUAGUGCUGCAGCUAACGCAUUAAGCACUCCGCCUGGGGAGUACGACCGCAAGGUUGAAACUCAAAGGAAUUGACGGGGGCCCGCACAAGCGGUGGAGCAUGUGGUUUAAUUCGAAGCAACGCGAAGAACCUUACCAAAUCUUGGCAUCCUUUGACAACUCUAGAGAUAGAGCCUUCCCCUUCGGGGGACAAAGUGACAGGUGGUGCAUGGUUGUCGUCAGCUCGUGUCGUGAGAUGUUGGGUUAAGUCCCGCAACGAGCGCAACCCUUAAGCUUAGUUGCCAUCAUUAAGUUGGGCACUCUAAGUUGACUGCCGGUGACAAACCGGAGGAAGGUGGGGAUGACGUCAAAUCAUCAUGCCCCUUAUGAUUUGGGCUACACACGUGCUACAAUGGACAAUACAAAGGGCAGCGAAACCGCGAGGUCAAGCAAAUCCCAUAAAGUUGUUCUCAGUUCGGAUUGUAGUCUGCAACUCGACUACAUGAAGCUGGAAUCGCUAGUAAUCGUAGAUCAGCAUGCUACGGUGAAUACGUUCCCGGGUCU